GAAUGAAGCUCCGACCUUGAAAAUGCGAACUACCUAGAGCUAGCAGUUUUCAAGGUGUCCGGCAGGUGUCGCUGUGGACCUCUCAAAAAGCUUCUGAAAUGGUCUGCGGUCCCCUGGGGCACCUGCGUGCAGUCUGAGACCUGCCCACCUAAUAACGGAGCGACGUGGACACGAUGAAGAGACUAAGGUGCCAAGGAAUAAAACAGUGGUCAAGAGCACGGACUCCACUCAUGGCUGCCUGGGUUUGAGCCUGGCUCUGCCACUUACCAGCUGUGUGACCUUGGGCCACUUGCUUAACAUCUCUGUGCCUCGGUUUCCUCUUCGCUGACGUGGAGGUGAAAAUACUAUCUGCCCUGUGAGUUGGCAGGAAGAUUAAUGAGAUAAUACACUGGAGGCACUGUGACGGGCACGUUGUAAGCACACCCCCCACCGGAAGAGUGUUGUCACGUGGUUAUGAACACGAGUGCCCCCCUCCCCUUGGCCAGGCUUUCUCUUCUUUUGCAAAAGUUCUUCCCUUAAGAGGCCCUGUCGCCCAUCCCCUUUGACUGCUAAGCCCUGAUUCUGGCAUUCAAGGCCAUCCUUACCUCAACUCCACCCUCUAACCAGCCACACUAUCGGCCACUUCCGGAGCACGUCUGCAACUCUCACAUCUACGCUCGUGCACAAGCUGUUUCCUCUACCUGGACACCUCCACCUGUUAACCUGUCCUGAAGAUCCUCCCGGGCCUCCUUCUGACCCCUUCUAUUGCCAUUAGCAACAGAAGCCUUCACUAGCCAGCCUUCCCUAACCUCCCUGGAGCAGGACCAGGAUACCCCGGACUGAGGGUUAGAAAUACAGGUUCCUGACUGCACAUUCAAAGGGUUUGAUUUUUAGUAGAUCUGGAGUGUGGCCCAAAUACGUAAGCCCUUAAAUAAAUAAAUAAACUUAAAAAAAAAAAAAAA